UAUUAUUGAAGAUUACAUUCAAACCAAAAAAAAAAAACAGAGGAGACACACACAAAAAAAUCACAGAGUGUAUGAGAAUUUGGCAAUUAGGUCAUCGCCACUUUUAUUGUUUAUGAGAAUUAGGGCAAUGAGGUCAUCGCCACUUUAUUCAAUCUUCUGAUUAACAGUUUGUGAGUCACUUAAAGAACCUUCUUAGCAGAAGGCCUAGAAGUGAUGUCAGCAACCCAAGCACUGACAUGUGGACGCUCGUCAAAGAGUUUCUUAGUUGGUGUACCAAGCAAGUACUGAAUCACAGGGAUAGUGUGAAGAUCGACCAAAGUGAAUUUAUCAGAAGCCAAAUACUUGGACUCACCAAGCCUGUGUUCGUAAACAUCGAGGACCUUGGCUAGCUUAGCCUCUUCUUCUUCAACAACGGUUUUGUCUGUGGUCAUACCAUACAAAGGCUUUAAGACUUGCUCCCAAACAAGCUUUGAACCAACUGGGUCAAACUCAUGCGAUUCAAUUUCAAUGCCCAUGGCUAUGCCCGCAAUGUCCUUGGAGCCAAGGGAGACAAGUUGGUUUCCUUUGUCUGAGUAAAAAUGAGCUAUGUAUUGAGUGAUUGCUCUUGAUUCUGCCAACAAAACAUUAAAAAAGUUGAGUGUUUCUGCUUUCUUUAAUUGCAAUUGUCAAAAACAGAAUUUGAGAUUAGGUCUAAAUUUAAGUGUUUUGCUGCUUACCGAAAAGCUUGAAGUCUCCAUCUUCAAAGGCUGGAACUUUACCAAAAGGCUGCAAAACAACAUUCAAGAUUUUUCAGACUAAAGGUUCAGUAUCUAAAUGAAACAAUAUUUUGUUUUGACAAAUAUUACUCACGUUGCGGAAGAUGAAAGGCUCUUUCUUGUGUUCACCAUCUUUGAGCUCGAUAUGAACGAAUUCAAAGUCGAGAUUCUUCUCGUGAAGAGCGAUGAGAACUCUUCUAGUGGCUGUGGAAGCUGGGUGACCGAAAACUUUGAUUCCUGCCAUUUGUUAAGACUUUGUUCUUAAAGCAAGGUGGAGAUUUAUUGAAGUAGAGAGAUCUUUGUGGUUGAUGAAAAGAAAUACACAAAUGGGAGAGUGUAUUUAUACAACUAAAUUAGAGUAACUUAGUGAAUAAACAAAAAACAAACGGCGCCACCAAGCUUGAAUACUCUUUGUUAUUUCAUAGUCAAGCUGAGUAACGUAUGAUUCGUCGUUUCUAUUGGUUCAAGAUUUUCAUAUACUGUUCAUAUAACUUAUAAAACAAUAUAAUCGGAGAAAAUAUCAACCAUGGCUGGAUAAGACAACAAGAAUAGUCUUUUAAUGUAUACUAGUCAAAGUUGACCGACGUUGUUGAAAACAUAUGGAUCGUUGGAUGUUCAAAUUGGAUCAUUGAAUCAAGGAGAUGAGGCAAUGUGAAGUUAUUAUUAGUCAAGAAGCUAUUCUUUUUGAAUCGUUCUUCGUAAUAAAUCUAUCUAGAACCUUCUCUAGCUUCGCCUUGCUUGCAUUCACAACCUUAUAGUCCGUCUUUAGAUUUAAUGGAUUAUACCCAUGUAAGUAUUGAUGCGAGUGGAUCGAACUCAUAAGUUUCAAUAUCCAUUCACAAUGUUUGUGUUCCCAUUGUUUUGUAGCUUUCGUAAUUCACAAGUUAUGAGCCUUUUGAUCUAUGGACAGACGAGAUGUAUUCAGAUAUAGCUCGAGACUCUGAGCAAGACUAGACAUAUCAAAAUUUUCCCGAAAUCAAACUCAAAAAUGUUUAUCAGAUCAAUAGUUGCAUGAGUAAGGUCAAGAGGCUAAAAACCCUAAUAAGAUAUAACAAAUAUAAGCAACUGAUCGUUACGUAAUAAUAUACCCUCGUUAUAACAAGUUUACUAGGUCGUCGAUGACUAAUCGCUAAAUUAGUAAACAAAAAUAGUUCAAAAUAGGUCUACUUCAGUAAAGAGUUUAGAGAUUAAAAGACGAUCGUUCGAGCAGAAAAGACCAGUUAAAUGGAAACCCUAGUUAAGACUUACAUUCCGUGAAUACAAGUAAUCUACCUAGGAAAUGAGAAUCCUAAUUCCGGCGAGAAUUGAAAAGGGUCUCCGUCUCCUGGUAAUAACCAUUUCCGUCGUUUCUUCGCACUCGAGUAAACAGAGGUUUUGCGACAGCUAUGCAAUUUAUUUAUAUGCUUUCCUAAGAAAACCCUAAUUUUAUCUUAAACACGCUUCCUUUUGUUCCUCUGUUUUAUUUCGGAAACUAAUUAACUUUCAACUUUUUUGAUCUAGGAACCUUUUUUGGUGACAGUUACGCUCAAACAAAUAUGAAUAACAUUGUUGACUUUGAAGCUUGCCAUCACCACAGAAGGUUUGGAAUCGAUUAGGGAAAGGAAGAAGAUUAGUGAUUGAUGAGUAGCAGAGCGACCUAAUUUGGAAGUCAACGUUCAAGACUUAGGAGAAUGAUAGUCAACUUUGAAGAAUGAGAUCAACAUUAAUUGGUAGUUAAACUUUAAGAUAAGAAAUAUUUUAUUAUAUCAAGACUCAUUAUCGAAGAUUACAUUCAAAUCAAACACUCGGCAGCAGAAAAACAGAGUAAACACAAAAAGAAAAACAGAGUUUAUGAGAAUUGGGCAAUUAGGUCAUCGCCACUUUUAUUACAUCUUCUGAUCGAUAAAUAGUUUGAGAUUCACUUAAAGAACCUUCUGAGCAGAAGGCCUUGAAGUGAUGUCAGCAACCCAAGCACUCACAUGUGGACGCUCGUCGAAGAGUUUCUUAGUUGGAGUUCCAAGUAAGUAUUGAAUCACAGGGAUAGUGUGAAGAUCGACCAAAGUGAAGUGGUCAGAAGCCAAAUACUUGGACUCACCAAGCCUGUGUUCGUAAACAUCGAGGACUUUGGCUAGCUUAGCCUCUUCUUCUUCAACAACGGUUUUGUCUGUGGUCAUACCAUACAAAGGCUUUAAGACUUGCUCCCAAACAAGCUUUGAACCAACUGGGUCAAACUCAUGCGACUCAAUUUCAAUGCCCAUGGCUAUGAUCGCCAUGUCCUUGCCAGUUGAGAGAAGGUUGUUUCCUUUGUCUGAGAAUUCAUGAGCUAUGUAUUGAGUAAUUGCUCUUGAUUCUGCCCACCAAAAAAAAAACAUUUUUGAGUGUUUCUGCUUUCUAUUAUUGCAAUGAUCAUAAAACCAAAAAUUUGUAAACAUGACUAUAAUGAUAUAUAUUUGUAUUUACCGAAAAUCUUGAAGUCUCCAUCUUCAAAGGCUGGAACUUUACCAAAGGGCUGCAAAAACAAUAUUCAAGAUUGUUAAGACCAAGAUUCAGUAUCUAGAUGAAAUAUAAUAUUUUGUCUUGACAGAUGUUUUAUGUACUCACGUUGCGAAGGAUGAAAGGCUCUUUCUUGUGUUCACCAUCUUUGAGCUCGACAUGAACGAAUUCAAAGUCGACAUUCUUCUCGUGAAGAGCGAUGAGAACUCUUCUAGUGGCUGUGGAAGCUGGGUGACCGAAAACUUUGAUUCCUGCCAUUUGUUAAUACUGUGUUUUUCUUGUUCUUAAAGUAAGGUGGAGAUUUAUUGAAGUAGAGAGAUCUUUGUGAUUGAUGAAAAGAAAUACACAAAUGGGAGUGUGUAUUUAUACAACUAAAACAGAGUAACUUUAGUGAAUAAACCAAAAACAAACGGCGCCACCAAGCUUGAAUACUCUUUUUUAUUUUGUUUUUUGGAUAAAAUUCUUGGAAUGCUCUUUUGUUAUAGGAUUAUUUCAAAGUCAAGCUGAGUAAUGUAUGAUUCGUCGUUUCUAUUGGUUCAAGACUUAAAUAUAACGUAAAAAAUAGUUAAAAUAAAAUAAAAAUAAGAGAAAAUAUCAGCCACCGCGUGACAACGACCACAAGAAUAGUCCUUCAUCUACUAGUCAAACUCUGACCGACGUUGUUGGGUCCACGUGGAUCGUUAGAUGCUCGAGUUAGAUCGUUGGAUGCUCGAGUUAGAUCAUUCGAUAGAACGAGAGAUAAUAAGAAACAAAACAAUAUCAAAAGAAAAGAAAAUUUGGUUUCACACUUUUGACAAUCUGGUACAAUUACAAAUUUGGGGUCAAUAAAGUAUUUAAUCAUAUUGAAGUAACUAACUAAAUUUAGCAUAAUUAUGGAGAAAUACAUUACUAAAUCCUAACUAUAAUUUCGUAUAGAAACAUUCAAAGGAACAGAGUAAUUUUCACAUUUUCCACAUCCACAAAAAUGCUCAUUAUAAACAACUUUGACAUUUAAUCUUGUGACAUGUAUAUUGAAGUAUAUAUUAUUCUUUGGAAUUUUGAAAUCAUUAUGGCAAAAAAAAGAGUGAUUUUUGCAAAAGCUUUGCCUUUUAUUCAUAACAUCAAACUUAAAGAAAUCACCGAAAGUACAUCACAAGAUUAUAAGAUUAAUUCUUCUUCUUAUGGUACCAAGCCUUCACAUCACAUGCCCUCUUCCAAGCCGGUCUAGCUGUGAUCUCAGCCACCCACCGGCGCACGCUUGGCCGGUUUACAAACAUUCUCUUUGUAUGUGUGUCCAUAAGGUAUUGUAUAUUAGGAAGGUGAUAAAGAUCAGCCAUUGUGAAGCUGUUACUAGCCAAGAAGCUAGAAUUUUUGAGUCGUUCUUCGUAUAUAUCUAGAACCUUCUCUAGCUUCGCCUCGGUUUCAUUCACAACCUUAUAGUCCGUCUUUAGACCGUACAUAGGCUUGAUGGAUUGUUCCCAGGUCAGUGUUGAUGUGAGUGGAUCAAACUCAAAAGAUUCGAUAGCCAUCCACAUUCUUUGUGUUCCCAUUGUUUUGUAGCUUUUGUAAUUCAGAAGUUGUGUGCCUCUUGAUUUAUGGACAGUCGCUAUGUAUUCAGAUAUAGCUCGAGAUUCUGACGAAAACAAAUUAUAUCAAAAUUCAUUAGAUCAUUAAUUAGUUGAAAAUGUAGUUUUAAACUCACCAGUCAACUUAAGACCCCCGUCUAGGAAAACUGGGACUUGACCAAAUGGCUGCAUCAAUAAGAAGAGACCAAUAAAAUGGAAACCCUAGUUAAGACCUAACCAUUAAUCAUGAAGCAGAGUUAGAUAUUUAGAUGUGAAAAGUACAUUGAUAGCGAGAAAACUCGGCUUCUUCUGGUCACCGGCUAUCAAGUUGACGGUGAUGGGAUCGUAAGAGAGACCUUUCUCAUGAAGAACGGCGAGGACACGCCUUGUGUUGGUUGAGUAAGGGUACCCAUAAAUCUUGUACUCUGCAAUUUUACAUAUUUCAUCAUGUAAUACGAUGAAGAAGGAGGAGAAUUAAGAAACCCAUCAAAACUUCUUUAUUCCAUCCCAUUAAUUAGUAUAUAAAUGAGUAUGAUUACCAUCUUUACGAGCUAAUUCUUGACACCAUUUAAAGCAUUGGCGACUACUCUCGAACGUCUGGUUACAAUGAUGGUAGCAAGUUUCCGGUACAUGGCUCGCGUUUAUGCCCAUCCCUACAACGCAAUUAUGAAUAUUCAAAACCAUAGCACAAGAAGAAAAGCAAACAAAAAAAAUUCAAGAUAAUUACAUUUGAGUGGUUCAUAAGAAAUGGACAGCAUAACCAUGAGAGUAAACAAAACCAAUAAUAUGGAGGAACCCAUUUUUUCUACUCUCUCUACUCUCUAUAGUACACUCAUAGAGGAUAGAGCAUAUAAAGAUGUAUUUAUAAUUAGAUAAGGUGAAUCCAUAACCAUUAUUAUUUACUUUAUUUCCUUUUCAAAAUUUGUUAAUUAAUAAGUUGGAUUUUUUACAUGAAAUUGUAGAUUUCUUUCCUUUUACAGUUUUUUGUUCUUAUAUGAACUUUUUGCACUAGCUUAUACAAUUUAGCCAAUCUAAUUAGGUAGGAUAUAGCGUUGAACCAAAAAAUAAAAUAAAAAAAUUGAGGUAUAGAUUUAAUAGCUUAUCUAAUUGAGGUAUAUAAAGUUUAACUGUUUUUCACUCAAGUAAAUUUAACACUAAGACUAAAUUAUAUUGUUUUUUGCAAAUAUUUUUAUUAUGUAAACUAUUUUUUUUAUAUACAAAAUAUUUUCGUUUGCAAGGUUUUUAAGUAAAUAAAAUAAUUUUUUUACCUUUUAAAUUUUCGGAUUUAAAAUUUUCAAAUAUAUUUUUAUUGAUUUAACUAAUUUAGUACUAGGAAUACCCAAAUAUUCAAUGAAACUGGAUUUUAUUAUUUUCAGUUUUAUUAUUAUUAUUUGAAUUGAAAAUAAUUGAAAUAUUAUCAAAACCAAUCCAAUAUGUUCAGGCACCACAUCCGAGGCUGUGUGAAUAUAGCUUGUUUUAAAAUUCCCUCCUUCUAUUUGGUUACUCCAGAAGAUAUUGGUAGUUUUGGAGUAAUGCAACUUAACAUAACAAGAAUGCAUGAGUGUAGUGAUCUAUAAAUUCAAAAUUGGCAUCGAAUUAUUUAUAUCUGCUUUUCGCAUUUUCAUAAUCGUAGAAUCUUAUCUGAAUUUAUCUAAUUAGUUUAAAUAAUGCUUUUUUUGUUCUUUAUUUAUUUACAUGAAACAUAUAUUAACCAAACAUAAAAUAAGAUUCGCAAGGCAACAAACAACACGCACAAGCUUACAAACAAAGACCCAAACUCAACAUACACAUACACACACAUUCACACGUAAAGAUUACUUCUGCUUUCAGUUAGUUCCUUGGCUUAUUAAACCAAGAUUUCUCUUGAUCACAUGCCAUUUUCCAAGCCUCUCUACUCGUAAUCUCAUCCACCCACUUACGCACUUUAGAUCUUUUUUCGAACAAUUUCUUCGUUGGAGUUCCCAAAAGGUAUUGUAUGUUUGGUAGGUGAUGAAGAUCAACCAAAGUAAAGCUAUUACAAGCCAAGAAUCUAGAUUCUUCGAGUCGUUUCUCGUAGAUAUUUAGAACUUUCUCUAGAAUAGCCUCGUUCUCUUUGACGAUUGUUUGGUCAGUCUCUAGACCGUAGAUAGGCUUAAUGACUUGUUCCCAAGUGAGUUUCGAUGCGGGUGGAUCAAACUGAUGAGCUUCGAUUUCCAUCCACAUUGUUAGAGUUGCCAUUGUCUCGUGACUUCUAAGAUUCAGAAGCUGUGUGCCUCUUGAGCUAUGAACAUAUGCGAUGUAUUGUGUGAUGGCUCGGGAUUCUAGAGGGGGAAAAGUUGAUUAGAGAUAUAAGUAUAACAAAUGUUUAUCAUGUUGUUGUUAUUAGUGUGUAAGAUUAAACUCACCAUACAGCUUAACACUUCCAUCCUCAAAAACAGGGACUUGACCAAAUGGCUGCAUCAAUAACACAUUGUUAAAACUCGAAAUCCUUGGGUGACAAGUAACCAAGACAAGCCCUAGGUGAGUAUCAAAACCUAACCAUAUAUAACAAAUUUUUGUAUAUGUAGAUGAUUCGGCACAAAGUCAAUCUAUAAUUAGGUGUGUAAUAUCUCAUCCUGAAAUUACUAAUCAUUCGAUUUUGCGAUAUCAUUCCUUACGUUGAGAGAGAGGAAAGGUUCGGUUUUGUGUUCACCGGUUUGCAAUUUGACGGUAAUAGGCUCGUAAGAGAGUCUUUUCUCAUGGAGAACAGCGAGGACACGCCUUGUGUUGGUGGAGAAAGGAUCGCCAUGAACCUUGUAACCUGCAACUUUGAAUCAUAGAACAAAUUUCACUGAAAUCAAAAUUAUCUUAAUUUUUGUUUGUUUGUUAUAAACCUAUAUAUUAAUUAAUCUUACCGAGCUUUUUAACUUCUGCCUCACGUUUCCAGUUUGGAAAUAACUUGAACACCAUCUGUAAGCAGUCCAUAUAUACGAUAUAGAUACACUUGUUUAAUUUCUGCAUGUAUCCUCCAUAAACCCUAUUAUAUAUACCAACUUAGUUAUAUGCUUUUUCUUUGCAAUACAAAAGCUGAGGAACAUUUUGUUUUUCCUUGACAUCCACGUAAAGAGUCCACCUUUCUUGUGUAUUGAGAGAUGAAUUGUUCCAAUGAUACAAUGUAAACUAGGGAUCUACCGUUUUAUUUCAUUAUUUAUCCUUUCUGGUUCUUUUAUUAUCCUUUUUGUUCCAUUAUUUUAAGUGCUAAUUAAUAAACAAGACGAAUACUAUGAUUAUGCUUUACUUUGAGGUUUACCAAAGCACACGACAGGAAUCAAACCAACAAACAGUUCAUGUAUAAAUAACUAAAACGAGUUGAAUCAUUUGUGAGAACUGAUUAACGCCUUUAAUCAGUAGUAAACCCAAAGAAGAAAACACGAUAAAUCAAAAAACACUUUAAGCUCUGAUCAGUAUGAUUGUUAUCAAUCAGAGAGCUUUAAUUAUCGUUUUUAUACACACUGAUAAAAUCAUUUGCAAGUUUUUUCCACAUCUUGACAUUUGUGUGAGUUAUAUUACAAACUUGAGAAAUAUGAAGACAAAAUAAUCACAUCAUUGGUUUUCUGCACUUCCAACUCCUUCCUGUUGAAAAUUGAAAAGCUAAAUAUCACAAAAGAGUUUAGUGACAUGGGAUAAGAGUCUAAAGAGUGGAAUCAAAACUGACCAUGGCGCAUAUACUCGGAUAAAGUUCCCUAUUUCGAUAUCAACAUCCGCACAAACUUUCGGACUAAAAAUAAUUGUUGUUUCUGUUUCUUUUGCCGCAAGAGCUUGUGUGUUCUUGAGUAAUAGGGAGUCCUACAAAAUCGAAUGUGACUAAAUCAAUUGCUUAAGGGUCUAAUUAAAGGAGCAGGUUUAUCAGAUGCGUCAAAGAGAUGGAGAGAUAAACCCCAGAGAGGUCAAUGACAGAGCAUUUGCAGACGACAAGCUUUCCCUCCAAGUGUCUUGACAUGACUUUAACAUCAACAUAGCCCGAUGAAUCUGAGUUGGGAAAUUGGAACGAGUAACAGAGGUAUGAACUAGAUUUUGUUUAUAUGGGAGUUACAAAAAGAGUUACCUGCUUCUCCGAUUCCGCUUUGCAAUUUCCUCAUGAUUUCCAUUUCCGUCUCUUUUUCUUGUUUCAUGAUCUGUUGCAGCUUGCCAUACAGGCUAGAGCCACUGCAAAUUGAUGCAACCAAAAAUGGGUUUUCAUGUUAACUGAUGUGUGAUUUUAAGAGUGUGGUGCAUAAAAGAUGUUGAGAGUUUGAUUACCCAGAUAAUUUAGGUGAACCGAACAAGAGACCUUCUUUGCUCAAAGAGGAAGCUUUUAUUGCUUCAUCAAACCGGUCCCCAACAAAUUGUUUCUUCUGGUUGGAAAUGUUUGGCACUGAGCUUUGAUAACUAGGCUAUGUCACAGAACAAUAUAAUUUGAAUUUGACUGUAAACUGAGGAGAAGGAGAUUACCCAAAUCACAAGAAAGGAAAAGAAUAAAACCUCAUCAUCGCUUGAUGAUCCACUAUCCAUAGGUCCAGGAAGUUCAUCAUCAGUAUCACUAUCUUGGAAGUUAGAUGAAUUUCCCUUAUGAGUAAAUUUCCGACUUUUUGCUUCAUGUCUGCUGUCCUGGAGCAGAAAGGAGGCCAAACGAAUGAAACAGAUGUCUGAGAGCAAAGCAGCAAAUCAAAUGCUAAUCCACUGUAUAAUCAAUAAUACCAGUUCAGAGCUUCUUUUUAUCAGUCUAAUUUUAUCUAGAGGAAUUUCUUGAAGCUUGGGUACCGCAUCUUUAGUGCACUCGUGCAAAACUUCUCUCGACUCAGCAACAGAAACACCCUGCCUGUUUUCUGAUCUUUCAUCAAAACUGUUGGGGCAUUCAAUAAUUGGAUCCUCUUCUAUAGCCUGAUCCUCCACAUCAGGCUCAAAGAUUUCAGCCAUGUCACUUAUCUUGGAUGACGUUUCUCCAUGAGUAUGUGAGUUAAAUGAAAAUUUUGGCCUCCCAUGAUCUUUGAGACCUGCAUAUACAUUAGAAACCCAACUCAGAGAUUUCAGAAAAUCGUGCAUACAUGAUCUGUUUCUUUGAGUUUUCAUACGUGGUGCAACGUUCUUUAACUUGUACGGUAAAAAAAUACCAAGAAGAGUUUUGGAUAAAACAGUACCAUUACUACUUUUCUUGGCUCUGAAGCCAGAUAGAUGGGAUGAUGCGACUGAAGCAACACCAUUCAAAUGGAUUAGUGACUUGGUUUCUUUACUUAUAGCAGACCAAGUUGCCACUUGUUCAUCAUGUGUAAUCUGAAGGCAACAACAAUCACCAUUCAAAACAUAAGUAGAGGAUACUGUCACCAAUUUGAAGAACUUAUCAAGAUGCAUGAGUGAAAUGGACUCCAAGAUUAGAAGGUAACCUCAUCAUCUGACCCAUUUUCCUGAGCAGAUAUGCAUGCUAAUCCAGUUCUUCUGGAAGAAGAAAUAUAACUCUCCUCGGGGGAGUCAGGAACUUCGACCACAUCUUCAAGAGAGGAUGAUAUCUUCCGUAGCUAAAAAGGAAAUUUCUCUCAUCACCAUUUGAUUCCAAUAUUCCUCCAAAAAAGAAGCUGCACAAAAGAAUUUGCAACGAAAAAGACUCACAGUUGCUUCCAGAGUUACAUCACCGGUUUCCCUAGCAUAAUUUAGCUCACCACAACCUGGAAACAACACAGAAGCUCUUUGUGAAACUUGACUGAAGUUAAAUAGUCGUAGAAAAGGCUUGACCGCAAAAUGGAUAUAUUAUAUGUACCUAUGAGUUUUUCGAGCUUUGUUUGAAGUAGUAAUCCUCUCUACAAUAUUGAAGCCAACUAUGGUCAAACCACAAUCAAAUUCCCUAUAGCUCCUCAAAAAAAACUACUCAAGCCAACAACAAUCAAUUCGGCAAAUCAGAAGUUGCCAAGUUCUUUCUCAAAGACAACUUCUCAGGAGUUCACAGAGAGCUUUAUGCAAGCUUAACGAAUCGAAAGUUGAGAUUAAACAUUACCUCUUGUUCCUUCGCAUUCUCCUUCGGCGAAAUAUCAUUUUCUUCUUCUUCCUCUAAAAGACCAAACAACAGCUUGAGAAUCACUCGAUAGACAAUGAAACACAAAGAUCUAAAAUCGAAAUUUCAGAUGAAGAAAAAGAAGCAAUCAUCAGUCCUCACCAGAUAUGCUCUGAUCGGAAUCUGGAUUCCCCUGAUGAUAAUCCAACAAGAAAAAAGCAAAACAGAAAAUCAAAUCAAUGUCCUGGAAAGAGAAAAAAGCAAACAAUUCUCAGCGAUGCAUAACAGUCACCGGUAAGUUACUUCGCCGCCACAUUCGCCGUCACCGUUCAAAUCGAUCUUGCCGGUGUUCGCCUUUGUACCGUCGUUUGCCCGUUAGUAUGCUUGGAUAUGGGCCCUUGUCUGAGAUAUUCACUUCUUCUUUUUUGUAUAACUAAUUGGGCUUUAACAGGCCCAAUUCAAUAAAACUCUUCCAUGUUUUAUAAUUUGUUUUUUAUAUCCCACAUUUUAGAAUUAAUCUACAUAUAGAAUUUUGGGCCAAAAUAUAUACUAUUUAGUUUUUAUUUCCUACAAUAUCUAUUUAAAAAAAAUAUUGUUCUAGGUCUUUUUAACGCUAUUAAUUUCAUUCGUUAUAUAGAACCAAUGUAAUCAGAGUGAACAUCCCUAUUGUUCUAAAUUUAUAUUCUGAACUAAAUAUUAUCAUCAUUAAAUUACAUUUAAUUAAUUGCUAAUUUUUUAAUUAAUUAAGUUUUUAUAGCAUAAAAAUAUUAAAAAGAUACAAAAUCGUCUUGGAAGUAUAUCAUACAAAUAUUUUUGAUAAAAAUAUAGGUCUAUGGUAUAUCUCUUAAUAUGCUAUUUAUAUAUAUUAUAUUAAUUAAAAUAAAAAUCUUUAACCUUUUUUCGAAAAUAUUAAACCGAAAUAUACCGCGGAUCAAUCUCUAGUUAAUAGUUAUAAUUAGCAAAUUCCUUAAUUUCACAUUUUUGUACAAAUACUGCUCUUCAAUAAUAUAAGGAGAGUUAUUUCAUAAUUUUUUGAUUUUUUGACCAAUAAAAAGAAAACUUGUUAAAUUAAUCACAAUAAACACUAAUUCUAAAUCGUAAUUUGGAAAUACAUUAAAAACAUUAUAUAUUUCUUAAAAGGUUAAAGAUAUAAAUACAUACACAUUGAUUUUUUAGGACUCGGAAUCCAAGGAACCAAUGAAGUAUUAUUCAUUUGAGUCACGGGCUUGUUCAUAUGUCUUUAGCAUACUUUUUGAAUCAAUCAAUCUAUGAUAGUCAGGUGAUAAUGUGAAUAGUUGGCUGGUUGAGUCUCCAGUCGGGUGCACUACGACCACUUUAAAUCCAUUCUCUAUGAGAUCUAAAAUCACAUCCGCAAACCCUCCAUCACCCGUCAUCAUCGCUAUAACACUUUUUCCGAUUUUCUCUUCAUAUCAUAUCCUCUUUAUGUUAGAAUAUAUAAAAAAACAAGUAUAAGGUUCGCUGUCCGAAUAAUUUUGAGUCUCAAGAAGGUUGACAAUAAGAAUAACUUGUUUAUCAAUAUUUCUUUUAGUUUAAUUUUUUUUAACUUUUAAAACCAAUAAAAGAAUUAAAAAAUUAUAAAUACUUUAAUUUAAUUUUCUAAAAUUGAUGUAUCUAUCCAUAAUAACAAGUAAAAAUUUGUAUUAUGUAUAAAAUGAUUAAAAUUAUACUAUAAAACAGAAAAUAAUUUAACUUUAAAUAAAUAUUAAAAUUUUAAUUUUAAUUUUAGUAUUAUUUAUUAAAUUACAUGACACGCCUUCCAGAAGAUCCACUGCACCUCUACUUUAUCUGUAACAAAAUAUUACUAUCCUUUCAUCUAACGGUUAAAUAGGAAAUCCACCGUAGUCAUUGAUACAGCUGAUUAUUCCCAAGCUCGAAACGAGAAAAGACUAGAGCGCGCAAAUUUUGAAUAUAUUUAUUUAUUGUCUUUACUUUCCAUCAAAUUUUGAAGAACGAAAGAACACUGUUGGCUAAGAGGAAAACCCUAGGAACCAUCAACCGAGAAGAACGAAGAAGAUUCGAAAGAUGGAAGGGACAUUGGAGCGACACUAUUCUGCUUCAAUUCGGUCAAUUUUCGAAGCUUUCUUUUGAGAAUCGUCCAUCGUCGAAUGUUGCUUCAUCGGAGUUUCAGGGUCUUCUCGAUUCGGACUCGUCGGAGCUCCGGAAUCAGUUGGGCUCCGCUGAUUCAGGUGCCAAUUGCGGAGAUAAGGACUUUAUUCUUAGCCAAGACUUCUUCUGGUAAAUCUUCGGCAUUUCCUGUAACACAAUUCUGGUAAAUCUUCGGCAUCAAAUCAGUACUUGUAAGUAUCUGUAACACAAUUCUGGUUUAGUUAUUCUGAUAUCUUCCGUAGCUAAAAAGGAAAUUUCUCUCAUCACCAUUUGAUUCCAAUAUUCCUCAGAACAAGAAGCUGCGCAAAAGAAUUUGAAAACGAAAACGACUCACAGUUGCUUCCACCGUUACAUCACCGGGAUCCCUAGCAUAAUUUAGCGCACCACAACCUGAAAACAACACAUAAGCUCCUUAUGAAAACACUUUCCUUAAUCAGUUAAUCUAUGAACUGCAAGAAGGUACGGGAAACCUGACUGAAGUUAAGAUAGUCAUAGAAAAGGCUUGAUCGCAAAAUAUAUACCUAUGAGUUUUUCGAGCUUUGUUUGAAGUAUUAAUCCUCCCUACAAUAUUCAAGCCAACUAUGGUCAAACCACAAUCAAAUUCACCCUAUAGCUCCUCAAAACUAGUCAAGCCAACAACAAUCAGGAAUUGGGCAAAAUCAAAAGUUCCCAUGUUCUUUCUCAAAGACAAAUUCUCAGGAGUUCCCAGAGAGCUUUAUGCAAGCUCAAGUUGAGAUUAAACAUUACCUCUUCUUCCUUUGCAUUCUCGCUUGGCCACAUAUCAUUUUCUCCCAAACUAACAUUGAUGAUCUCUUCCUCCUCCUCUAAAAGACCAAACAACAGCUUGCGAAUCACUUGUUAGACAAUGAGCGACCUAAACACUAAGAUCUAAAAUCGAAAUUUCAGAUGAUAAAAGCAAUCAUCAGUUCUCACCAGAGAUGCUCUGAUCGGAAUCUGGAUUCCCCUGAAAAUCCAACAAGAACAAAAGCAAAACUCAAAAUCAAAUUAAUCCAACAAUAAAAGAAAUCGCAAAAGCAAACAAUUCUCAGAGAUGUAGAACAGUCACCGGAAGGUUUCUUCGCCGUCACAUUCGCCGUCACCGUUCAAAUCGAUCUCGCCGGCGUGCACCUUUAUACCGUCCUUGCCGUUAGUAUGCUUGGAUAUGGGCCCUUCUCUGAGUUUACUUUCUUUUAGUAUUAGUAAUUGGGCUUUAAUAGGCCCAAUUCCCAUGUUUUAUAUCCCACAUUUUAGAAUUAAUCAAACAUUAAUCUGGCAAUUCCUUAAUUUCACAUUCUAGUACAAAUUACUGGUCUUUAGUUAUAAGGAUUAAGGAGAGUUAAUUCAUGUUUGGAAAAAAAAAAAUGAGAAACUUUUUAGUUGUUUGACCAAUAAAAAUACAAAUUGUUAAAUUAAUUAACAAAAAAUACUAAUUCAAAAUUUUAAUUAGUGAAUCGUAACAAAAAAUAUUAUAUUUCUUAAGAAAGUUGAAUAUUUAAAUUAGUGAAUCGUAACAAAAAAAAUGCUAGUGCUAUUAUAGAAAAAAAUAUUAUUUAUUAAAGACCCAUCAAAGCGUACAUGAUACGCUCUACAGAAGAUCCGCUGCACCUUUACUUUAUCUGUAGCAAAAUAUUUCAAUCCUGAAGAUUGAACGGUCCAGAAUUGAUUAUAUAGGAAGUGCACCGUAGUCAGUCAUGCAGAUGACUAUUCCCAAAUUUUAGCUCGAAACUCUAAAAGACGAGAGCGCGCAAAUUUUGAAUUUAUUAAUUUAUUUCAAUUAUUUUUCCUUAGUUGAAUCACCACCCAAAGUAAUAAUAUUCAUCGUCAUGUUCGAGAAGAACGGAAGAACACUGUUGGCGAAGAGGAAAACCCAAGGGACAAUCAAAACCAGGGCAUCGAAGAAGAUUCGGAAGAUGGAAGGGACAUUGGAGCGUCACUCUCUGCUUCAAUUCGGUCAAUUGUCGAAGAUUUCUUUCGAAAAUCGUCCGUCGUCGAAUGUUGCUUCAUCGGCGUUUCAGGGUCUCCUGGAUUCGGAUUCUUCGGAACUCCGAAAUCAGUUGGGUUCCGCUGAUUCAGAUGCCAAUUGCGGAGAGAAGGACUUUAUUCUUAGCCAAGACUUCUUCUGGUAAAUCUUCGUUAACUCUGGCAUUUCUUAGCUGUGUAUAUCUAAUUCGAGAUCUAUCGUUAUCUUCUAGGUAGUUGAAUUUUGGGAUUAGUUAGUAUUACGAUUUCAAGAUCUGACUUUAGAUUUGAGAUGGUUUCCCUUAUAUUCACUUUUUAAAAAUGAAAGCUAAACUUAUGUCUAGCUAAAAGAUGCUUGUGAGAUGUUGAUGAAUGAUGGUCUCAGCUACUAAUAAUUUCUUCUCUGGUUAAUUUUUCCAGCACACCUGACUAUAUAACCCCGGACAAUCAGAACUUGAUGAGCGGCUUAGAUAUCAGCAAGGUAAAAUUGUUGAUUUGGAUGUUUAUUUCACCAAUGUCUCAAAUUUAAAGUUCUUCUCUUUAUUGUUUUUGUAGGAUCAUUCUCCAUGUCCUAGGUCUCCUGUUAAACUAAAUACAGUUAAAAGCAAAAGAUGUCGCCAGGGUAAGCUUUCUUUGGAUUCAGAUUUUGUGUUUAGUAUGAGUAAAAAGAAGAUUUUCGGAUGAGAAGAAAAUAU
rnacentral:lncRNA from 1 species